GCCCGGUCUGUGUUAAGGCUUUCUGCCUUCCCCAGGACCUCCACCCACUUGGUGUCACCUGAAAUGGAUUUGCUUUGCUUCUCUGAAAUGUUCCAUUCUGCAAUUCAACGGGGACCGUACAAAUUGCCGGCACGGUGCUGAAAAACUCCAACGAGACUGAUGUACCUCUCUGUACUUCUCAAAAGAAAGAGAAGAGAACAUUGCCAAGUAAUUUCAGCCAUACCAGUUACCUGUCACAAGAUUAGUCAAGCAAAGCGGUGAAAUCUGAAGCUGGAACCCGUUUGAAAGCUCAGAGGCCAGCGCUCUCUCUUUCUCUCUCUCUCUCUCGCCUUCAAAGUUUACAUUGUCACUAGGUACAGUAUACCACAGGCACACAAACCUGGCCUGGAUUUAAUAGCAUUGUGUCCUUGGUUUGUCCUUCAGUGAAGCUUUUUCACAAAUUAAAUGUGUUUUUUUUUUCAUGCACAGUUUUCUGUUAAUUCCUGCUACCUCCAAACUUUCUGCAUAACAAGUCAUAACAAAUCAAAAAUGACAUUUGCUUGAAUUUGUGCCUGAUUUUUUUUUUUUAAUCUGCUUUGGAUGGUUUGAUUGAGGCCUAAUUUUUUGGCAACAGUAUCAAUGUUUGACCAAUAAUGUACUGCUUUUACUUGAAGCUAACAAAAAAAAGCAAAGCCUGUAAUUCUGUAAUUUUUCACUUGUACUGAUGUUGUGAAUUUUACAUGCUUACAAUUUCACUCUAUUUAUGUUUAUGUAAUUGGAAAAGGAGC